UACGUGAGCCCCGAGCGUUAUCCGGAAUUACUGGGCGUAAAGUGUGCGUAGGCGGUCAUGUUAGUCUUCUGUUAAAUCCACCGGCUCAACCGGUGAACCCCAGAGGAAACGGCAUGACUUGAGUGUGUGAGAGGUUUGCGGAACUCAUGGUGUAGGGGUGAAAUCCGUUGAUAUCAUGGGGAACACCAAAAGCGAAGGCAGCAAACUGGCGCGUUUCUGACGCUGAAAUACGAAAGCGUGGGUAGCGAAUGGG
rnacentral:rRNA from 1 species